rnacentral:rRNA from 1 species
UACGUAGGGUGCGAGCGUUUGUCCGGAAUUAUUGGGCGUAAAGAGCUCGUAGGCGGUUUGUCGCGUCUGCUGUGAAAACCCGAGGCUCAACCUCGGGCCUGCAGUGGGUACGGGCAGACUAGAGUGCGGUAGGGGAGAUUGGAAUUCCUGGUGUAGCGGUGGAAUGCGCAGAUAUCAGGAGGAACACCGGUGGCGAAGGCGGGUCUCUGGGCGAGUAACUGACGCUGAGGAGCGAAAGCGUGGGGAGCAACAGG